AGAGUCUUCCUAUAAAUCCACGCCGGUUCCUGAAGUGGUUCAGGAGCUUCCAUUAACUUCGCCUGUGGAUGACUUCAGGCAGCCUCGUUACAGCAGCGGUGGUAACUUUGAGACACCUUCAAAAAGAGCACCUGCAAAGGGAAGAGCAGGAAGGUCAAAGAGAACAGAGCAAGAUCACUAUGAGACAGACUACACAACUGGUGGCGAGUCCUGUGAUGAGCUGGAGGAGGACUGGAUCAGGGAAUAUCCACCUAUCACUUCAGAUCAACAAAGACAACUGUACAAGAGGAAUUUUGACACUGGCCUACAGGAAUACAAGAGCUUACAAUCAGAACUUGAUGAGAUCAAUAAAGAACUCUCCCGUUUGGAUAAAGAAUUGGAUGACUAUAGAGAAGAAAGUGAAGAGUACAUGGCUGCUGCUGAUGAAUACAAUAGACUGAAGCAAGUGAAGGGAUCUGCAGAUUACAAAAGUAAGAAGAAUCAUUGCAAGCAGUUAAACAGCAAAUUGUCACACAUCAAGAAGAUGGUUGGAGACUAUGAUAGACAGAAAACAUAGAAGGCUGAUGCCAAGUUGUUUG